rnacentral:rRNA from 1 species
GACGAAGGUGGCGAGCGUUGUUCGGAAUCACUGGGCAUAAAGCGCACGUAGGCGGUGCCGUAAGUCGGAUGUGAAAUCCCUCGGCCUAACCGAGGAACUGCGUCCGAUACUGCGGUGCUUGAGGAUCAGAGGGGUGCAUGGAAUUUCCGGUAAAGCGGUGAAAUGCGUUGAUAUCGGAAGGAACUCCGGCGGCAAAAGCGAUGCACUGGCUGAUUUCUGACGCUGAGGUGCGAAAGCCAGGGGAGCAAACGGG